AUGUAGGGCAACCUAUCUUCAAGAGGUAAAUUACUCUUGUUAAAAAUGAUCCUAGAGAUUUUUUUCUCUAUGUCAAGCAUCCUGU
rnacentral:pre_miRNA from 1 species